AGCUGGGAUAGGAGCUCUUGUCUUAUGCCAGUGAAGUGGGUCUUUCAACUUAUCUCAGCUUGGUUUUAGUAGGUGCUUUUGGGCCUCUACAAGUAACAGAGGCUUUAAAGACACCAUGAAGAAGAAACCAUUGGGUACAGGGAGUAUUUAGGUUCAGGACUUUGGGUUGUGUGGUCUGGAAUGGAGGCAUACUAUUCCUGAAAUUCUGGGUUGUGUCAAUUAUGACCCUUCAGAUUCUUUCCACAGAUUUAUUGCCACAAAAGGGAUCUGCCCCGUGUUAAAGCUAAGAGGCUAACGGGCAAUGAUGGGGCCUUCUGAGGCAGACUCAUUUCAGGUCCAACAUGGAUUUACCUUGCUGGUCAUCCCAAAGAUAAGUCAGGGGCCGUGGCUUGGAGGGGAAUAGGAAUGCAGUAAACCUGAUACAUGGGAGGCCAGAGGAGUACAGCGAUGAGGCGAGUCAGCACUCUAAGUCUGAGCUGCAGCCUGACUUUCUUCUCCAUGUUUACCUCAUCAUUCAUCUUUUCAUUUCAUUUUGAAGAUGAGAAGUGUUUGGCACGGCCAGGUAGCAGCACUGCGGGGAACCGUGACUGGAUGAAUACUGGCAAUCAAGAUGAGUAUUCUGGCACUUGGGGGGGAGUGGCCCCACAUGGCAGAGCCCAGCUGUGGUGCCGGUGCAGCUCCGUGUCCCAGUCCCGCUCCACGUGCCGGUGCCAGCCUUGGUCCUGGCCCCGCUCCAUGUCCCAGUGGAGCUGUGGGAAGCGCCCGCAGCGCUCGGAGCUGCGGUGCCGGCUGUGCCCACAAGGCACAUGCGCAGCGGUUUUAGGGGUGCCCAGAAACCCCGAUUCCCAGCCCACCCCAGAGCCCGGAUUUCAGGGGUUCCAGCAGGAGGAGACACAAAAAUUCUGACUGCAUGGAGCUGGUUCCAGUUCCUUCAUGCAGAUCAUCUUGUCUGACCUCGUCAAGCUCUUUAUCAUUUCAUUUACACACACAAAUGUUGUAUUUUUAUUUUCAAACCCCACAGAUCCCUAUUUGAAAUUUCUUAGAGUCUAAAAUCCUGACUGUAACACAGCAGAUACGGGCAUUCUUUUUAAAUAAAUUAUAUAUAGAUUAAGAUUAUUUAUCAAUAUCUAGAAAAUUACAAUCUUUGCCAUUUUAAGUACUGUAAAAUAAUUAAAUUUCACUCUUAAAGUAUUUUGCAAAUGUUUAAUAAGGGAAUAAAAAAGGACAAUGUCCAGCGCUGGGGCGUUCCUGCCUCUCGGCCAGUGCACAUGCCGGUACAUUUAAGGCAGGGGUAUCUAUAUGCUGUUACUUUACUGUGGUACAAACGCAUUCGUAAGUUUCGUGCAUCAUUCAAACAUUCUCGGGAGCUUUUGAUGUUGUAGAAACUUUGUUUUGGUUUUCCACUCUGACUUAUCUGCGUGACAUCCUGCAGAUCAGGUCAAUAUAUUUUAAUCCUUCUUGUGCCUUUGUCCUGUUAUUUCUGAUAAUGAGCAGUUAACAAAUUCUUCUCUAACUCUUCUCUGGUGCUCUAGUUUGUGUCACCGUUCUCACUCGGAGAGGUCGGUCAGCAGAUGUGGCAAACACCAUAAAUGCUUUACACAGUUCUCUCGGUUACACAGAAGCAUUUUAACAUUUUAUGUUCUGCCAAGGCCUACAGUACAAUGCAUCCAUCACACUGUUAUUCCUAGAAGCUCUAAGGUGUGUACACCAACAUCCUGUUGUCAUCACACUACUAUUGCUACAGCAGCAUGUAUGGUGCGUGCCUAAAAUGAGAAAUUAGGUUUUAUUAGCAAGCAGCUAAAAGGGGUUAUAAACUGCACUAUACGCACAAUCUAUAACACCGUAUAAAGAUUAACACACAAAUGUCAAAGCCAAUAUUAUAAGGUUAUGUUAUAUUUGUAACAACUCCUCCCCUUUGUCUUCCUUGCUGCAUUUGGCUCAAGCUACAACUUUUGAACCUCCAUGCUUUUGGCAUACUGAUAUCUUUCAUAGAUCUUAAAUGCCUUCUCUAGGUUUUUAUCAUCUUCAAUUGUUCUCAACACCAUCAUUUUCUGCCUUUUUUCCAUGGUUUCUGACUCUGGAUGGGUGGGCAUUGUCAUUGGUGUAUUUUGAA